rnacentral:rRNA from 1 species
GACGAACGCUGGCGGCGUGCUUAACACAUGCAAGUCGAACGGUAAGGCCCUUCGGGGUACACGAGUGGCGAACGGGUGAGUAACACGUGGGUGAUCUGCCCUGCACUUCGGGAUAAGCCGGGGAAACUGGGUCUAAUACCGGAUAGGACCACUGCCUGCAUGGACGGUGGUGGAAAGCUUUUGCGGGGUGGGAUGGGCCCGCGGCGUAUCAGCUUGUUGGUGGGGUGAUGGCCUACCACGGCGAGGACGGGUAGCCGGCCUGAGAGGGUGACCGGCCACACUGGGACUGAGAUACGGCCCAGACUCCUACGGGAGGCAGCAGUGGGGAAUAUUGCACAAUGGGCGCAAGCCUGAUGCAGCGACGCCGCGUGAGGGAUGACGGCCUUCGGGUUGUAAACCUCUUUCAGCACCGACGAAGCGAAAGUGACGGUAGGUGCAGAAGAAGGACCGGCCAACUACGUGCCAGCAGCCGCCGUAA